AGAGUUUGAUCAUGGCUCAGAAUGAACGCUGGCGGCGUGCUUAACACAUGCAAGUCGAACGAGAAAGGUACCUUCGGGUACUGAGUAGAGUGGCGCACGGGUGAGUAACACGUGAAUGACCUACCCUUCAGCGGGGGAUAACUCGCCGAAAGGCGUGCUAAUACCGCAUAUUGUACACACAUUGCGGUGUGUGUAUGAAAGAUGGGGACCUUCGGGCCUGUCACUGAGGGAGGGGUUCGCGUCCGAUUAGCUAGUAGGUGGGGUAAUGGCCCACCUAGGCGACGAUCGGUAGCUGGUCUGAGAGGAUGAUCAGCCACAAUGGAACUGAGACACGGUCCAUACUCCUACGGGAGGCAGCAGUGGGGAAUUUUGCGCAAUGGGGGCAACCCUGACGCAGCGACGCCGCGUAGGUGAUGAAGCUUCUUGGAGUGUAAAACCUUGUCACCGGUGACGAAGGUGCUGUGUUUAAUAGAUGCAGUGCUUGACGGUAGCCGGAGAGGAAGCCCCGGCUAACUCCGCGCCAGCAGCCGCGGUAACACGGGGGGGGGCAAGCGUUAUUCGGAAUUACUGGGCGUAAAGGGCGCGUAGGCGGCCUGUUAAGUGUGAAGUGAAAUCCCCCGGCUCAACCGGGGACGUGCUUUGCAUACUGGUGGGCUUGAGUCCGAGAGGGGGUGGUGGAAUUCCUGGUGUAGGGGUGAAAUCCGUAGAGAUCAGGAGGAACACCGUUGGCGAAGGCGGCCACCUGGAUCGGUACUGACGCUGAGGCGCGAAAGCGUGGGGAGCAAACAGGAUUAGAUACCCUGGUAGUCCACGCUGUAAACGAUGGUCACUUGGGGUUGGUGUGACUGAAACACAUCGAUGCCGGAGCUAACGCAUUAA
rnacentral:rRNA from 1 species